UACGGGGGGGGCAAGCGUUGUUCGGAAUCACUGGGCGUAAAGCGCACGUAGGCGGAUUCCUAAGUCGGGGGUGAAAUCCUGGAGCUCAACUCCAGAACUGCCUUCGAUACUGGGAAUCUUGAGUCCGGAAGAGGUGAGUGGAACUGCGAGUGUAGAGGUGAAAUUCGUAGAUAUUCGCAAGAACACCAGUGGCGAAGGCGGCUCACUGGUCCGGUACUGACGCUGAGGUGCGAAAGCGUGGGGAGCAAACAGG
rnacentral:rRNA from 1 species